rnacentral:pre_miRNA from 1 species
UGUGUACUCCCUCCGUUCCAAAAUACUUGACUUCCAUUUGUCCAAAAAUGGAUGUACCUAUAUACUAAAACAUGUCUAGAUACAUAUAUAUUUUGACAAAUAGAAGGCAUGUAUUGUGCAACGGAGGGAGUAGAA